UGCACUAAAGCCUAAUUUCCU
rnacentral:siRNA from 1 species